rnacentral:lncRNA from 1 species
GGACAGGGAUAUGCAGACUACAGUGGCCAACAGAGCACUUAUGGCAAGGCAUCUCGAGGGGGUGGCAAUCACCAAAACAAUUACCAGCCAUACUAAAGGAGAACAUUGGAGAAAACAGGAGAUGUUAAAGUAACCCAUCUUGCAGGACGACAUUGAAGAUUGGUCUUCUGUUGAUCUAAGAUGAUUAUUUUGUAAAAGACUUUCUAGUGUACAAGACACCAUUGUGUCCAACUGUAUAUAGCUGCCAAUUAGUUUUCUUUGUUUUUACUUUGUCCUUUGCUAUCUGUGUUAUGACUCAAUGUGGAUUUGUUUAUACACAUUUUAUUUGUAUCAUUUCAUGUUAAACCUCAAAUAAAUGCUUCCUUAUGUGAUUGCU